rnacentral:rRNA from 1 species
AUGGGUCCCAGGAAGUUUCUCUUGGCCUCCAUUACUACCGUAUCAGUUCUUCUUUACAUGUUUCCGCACGCCAGUUCGGAGUCCGUAGCCCUCCCUCCCGAAUCGGCCUAUGGCCCGGCCGCAGAGAGUCCGGACGCCGGUGCGCGGGAUCUCAGCCCAGUGCCGCCGCCGAUGGUAUUCGACGUCGACGACUACGGCGCCUCGGCCGGCGGCGACGCCACCGAGGCGUUUCUCGCGGCGUGGAAGGACGCCUGCAACUCCUCCUCCGACCCGUCCCUGCUCCUCGUGCCCGAGGGGAAGGCCUACCUCCUCAUGCCCGUCAGCUUCACCGGCCCCUGCAGGGCUACCACGAUCACGGCAAUGAUCAGGGGAACGCUGGAGGCGCCGUCGAACCGGUCGGUGUGGCUGGACGGCGACCGCCGGGAGCGGUGGAUCACGUUCGAGGACGUCGACAGCCUGCACGUCAUGGGCGGCGGGACGCUCAACGGGCACGGGCAGGAGUGGUGGAUCAACUCGUGCAAGGUCAACAAAUCCAUGAAAUGCGUCGCCGGCCCGACGGCCCUGUACUUCAGGAGCUGCGACCAUCUGGUGGUGGACGACCUGGAGGUGAAGGACAGCAUGCAGAUGCACGUCGUGAUCGCCAACUGCUGGAAAGCCGCCGUCUCGCGGCUGUUCGUCACCGCGCCGGGGUGGAGCCCCAACACCGACGGGAUCCACGUAUCCAACAGCAGAGAGGUGUCCAUAACCAACUGCAUCAUCAGCACAGGUGAUGACUGCAUAUCCAUUGUGUCUGGCUCUGAGUUUGUGUGGGCAUCAGGCAUAUAUUGUGGGCCGGGCCAUGGAAUAAGCAUUGGCAGCCUAGGAGCGAACAAAUCGCGGGCCCAUGUCUCUGACGUGCUGGUGGAGAAGGCCACGCUGGUGGGCACAACCAACGGUGUGCGGAUCAAAACAUGGCAGGGAGGAGAAGGGUCUGCAGAGAGGAUUAUUUUCCAAGACAUAAAGAUGUACAAUGUCACUAACCCUAUCAUCAUUGACCAGAACUACUGUGACUCCAAGAAACCAUGCUCCGAAGAGGAAUCAGCUGUUGCCAUAAGUGACAUACGCUACAACAACAUACACGGAACCAGUUCAUCGAAAGUCGCGGUGAAAUUCAUUUGCAGCAGCGCUGUCCAUUGCGAUGGCAUAGUGAUGCAAGAUGUUUCUUUGGUCGGGCAAAAAGGGGCCUACCUUAAAUGUUCCUCCGUGAACGCCAGAGUUAUAACACCAGGAUUCAACUACCCUUAUUGCACCGCGGACAUGUAG